rnacentral:ncRNA from 1 species
UUUUUUAGUUUUAAUUUAUUAACUUAAAGUUUUAUUUUGGCUUUAAAAUUAUUUGUUUAUAUUUAUAUUAUAAGAAAUUUUGAAUUUAGAUAGUUUAGUAUUUUAGUUAAUAAUUUUAAUUUUAUAUUUUUUAAUGGGUAAAUUAGGAAUAUUAAUAAAGUUCUAAUAAAAUUUGUGCCAGCAAUUGCGGUUAAACAAAUAGGACAAAAUAAUUGAUUUUAAAUAUAAUAAAUUAUUUAUUUAUUAAUUUUGUAUUAAUUUUAUUAAGUGAAAUUUUAAUUUUAUGAAGAUUUAAAAGUUUAAAAUGAUUUUAUAAAAGUUUAUUUAAAGACUAGGAUUAGAUACCCUAUUAUUUUAUUUUGUAAAAAUCAAAAUUUAAAUUAUUAAUAGAUUAGGGUCUUUAAAAUUAAAAAAUUUGGCGGUAUUUUACUCAAUUCAGAGGAACCUGUAAAAUAAUUGAUAAUCCACGAUUUAUUUUACUUUUAUAAAUGUUUGUAUAUCGUCGUUUUAAGUGAAUAUUUUAUUAGAAUAAUAAUAUUCUAAUAAUUUUUAUUAAAAAUUUAUUUCAGAUCAAGGUGCAGUUUUUAAAAGAAUUUAUGGGUUACAGUUUUAUUAUAAAAUUUUGGAUUAAUUAUUUAAAAAUAAUUGUGAAAUCGGAUUUGGAUGUAAGAUAAAAUAAAUAUAAAAUCUGAUAAUUUGUUCUAAAAUGUGCACAUAUUGCCCGUCAUUUUCAUUUAAGUUGGAACAAGUCGUAACAUAGUAGAUGUACUGGAAAGUGUAUCUAGGUUGAUU